rnacentral:rRNA from 1 species
GACGAAGGGGGCUAGCGUUGUUCGGAAUUACGGGGCGUAAAGCGCGUGUAGGCGGUUGCCCAAGUCGGGGGUGAAAGCCUUGAGCUCAACUCAAGAAAUGCACUCGGUACUGGGUGACUAGAGGACCGGAGAGGAUAGUGGAAUUCCCAGUGUAGUGGUGAAAUACGUAGAGAUUGGGAAGAACACCAGUGGCGAAGGCGGCUAUCUGGACGGUUUCUGACGCUAAGACGCGAAAGCGUGGGGAGCAAACAGG